rnacentral:rRNA from 1 species
CCUACGGGAGGCAGCAGUGAGGAAUAUUGGUCAAUGGCCGUAAGGCUGAACCAGCCAAGUCGCGUGAAGGAAGAAGGAUCUAUGGUUUGUAAACUUCUUUUAUCGGGGAAUAAAGGUAUCCACGUGUGGCUAUUUGCAUGUACCCUAUGAAUAAGCAUCGGCUAACUCCGUGCCAGCAGCCGCGGUAAUACGGAGGAUGCGAGCGUUAUCCGGAUUUAUUGGGUUUAAAGGGUGCGCAGGUGGUUUUUUAAGUCAGCGGUGAAAGUUUGGGGCUCAACCAUAGAAGUGCCGUUGAAACUGGAGGGCUUGAGUGUGAUGGAGGUAGGCGGAAUGCGUGGUGUAGCGGUGAAAUGCUUAGAUAUCACGCAGAACUCCGAUUGCGAAGGCAGCGUACUAAGCCAUAACUGACGCUGAGGCACGAAAGCGUGGGUAUCGAACAGGAUUAGAUACCCCAGUAGUC